rnacentral:rRNA from 1 species
CCUACGGGGGGCUGCAGUGAGGAAUAUUGGUCAAUGGACGAGAGUCUGAACCAGCCAAGUAGCGUGAAGGAUGACUGCCCUAUGGGUUGUAAACUUCUUUUAUAUGGGAAUAAAAUGUUCCACGUGUGGGAUUUUGUAUGUACCAUAUGAAUAAGGAUCGGCUAACUCCGUGCCAGCAGCCGCGGUAAUACGGAGGAUCCGAGCGUUAUCCGGAUUUAUUGGGUUUAAAGGGAGCGUAGGUGGAUUGUUAAGUCAGUUGUGAAAGUUUGCGGCUCAACCGUAAAAUUGCAGUUGAAACUGGCAGUCUUGAGUAUAGUAGAGGUGGGCGGAAUUCGUGGUGUAGCGGUGAAAUGCUUAGAUAUCACGAAGAACUCCGAUUGCGAAGGCAGUUCACUGGACUGCAACUGACACUGAGGCUCGAAAGUGUGGGUAUCAAACAGGAUUAGAUACCCUUGUAGUC